rnacentral:rRNA from 1 species
GACGAACGCUGGCGGCGUGCUUAACACAUGCAAGUCGAACGGAAAGGCCCUGCUUUUGUGGGGUGCUCGAGUGGCGAACGGGUGAGUAACACGUGAGUAACCUGCCCUUGACUUUGGGAUAACUUCAGGAAACUGGGGCUAAUACCGGAUAGGAGCUCCUGCUGCAUGGUGGGGGUUGGAAAGUUUCGGCGGUUGGGGAUGGACUCGCGGCUUAUCAGCUUGUUGGUGGGGUAGUGGCUUACCAAGGCUUUGACGGGUAGCCGGCCUGAGAGGGUGACCGGCCACAGUGGGACUGAGAUACGGCCCAGACUCCUACGGGAGGCAGCAGUGGGGAAUAUUGCACAAUGGGCGGAAGCCUGAUGCAGCAACGCCGCGUGCGGGAUGACGGCCUUCGGGUUGUAAACCGUUUUCGCCUGUGACGAAGCGUGAGUGACGGUAAUGGGUAAAGAAGCACCGGCUAACUACGUG